CUCAGAUUGAACGCUGGCGGCAUGCCUUACACAUGCAAGUCGAACGGCAGCACGGGAGCUUGCUCCUGGUGGCGAGUGGCGAACGGGUGAGUAAUACAUCGGAACGUACCCUGAAGUGGGGGAUAACGUAGCGAAAGUUACGCUAAUACCGCAUAUUCUGUGAGCAGGAAAGAGGGGGAUCGCAAGACCUCUUGCUUUAGGAGCGGCCGAUGUCGGAUUAGCUAGUUGGUGAGGUAAAGGCUCACCAAGGCGACGAUCCGUAGCGGGGUCUGAGAGGAUGAUCCGCCACACUGGGACUGAGACACGGCCCAGACUCCUACGGGAGGCAGCAGUGGGGAAUUUUGGACAAUGGGCGCAAGCCUGAUCCAGCCAUGCCGCGUGAGUGAAGAAGGCCUUCGGGUUGUAAAGCUCUUUCGGUGGGGAAGAAAUGGCACGGGUUAAUACCCUGUGUUGAUGACGGUACCCGCAUAAGAAGCACCGGCUAACUACGUG
rnacentral:rRNA from 1 species